rnacentral:misc_RNA from 1 species
GAUGAAGAACGCAGCGAAACGCGAUAAGUAAUGUGAAUUGCAGAAUUCAGUGAAUCAUCGAAUCUUUGAACGCACAUUGCGCCCGCUAGUAUUCUGGCGGGCAUGCCUGUCCGAGCGUCAUUUCAACCCUCAAGCCCCCGGGCUUGGUGUUGGGGAUCGGCGAGCCUCCGCGCCCGCCGUCCCCUAAAUCUAGUGGCGGUCUCGCUGUAGCUUCCUCUGCGUAGUAGCACACCUCGCACUGGGAAACAGCGCGGCCACGCCGUUAAACCCCCAACUUCUGAACGUUUGACCUCGGAUCAGGUAGGAAUACCCGCUGAACUUAAGCAUAUCAAUAAGCGGAGGA